CCACUGCUGAGGAGUCCCACAAUAGGACAAAACGGCCGUCCAGUGC
rfam:Schistosoma curassoni strain Dakar, Senegal genome assembly, scaffold: SCTD_scaffold0000095